ensembl:lncRNA
AUGUGGCCUAGCUUUCAGGGGCAGAGUCGGCCCAGGCUGACAGGAGAGCGAGUCGCGGGGAUCCUGGCUCGGCGAUGCCAAGUUCGCCUCCGCUUUCCCACUCCCUGCCUUUCCUCGCUCGCACCUGCACGAUGCUCAAGGUGUCCGCCGUGCUGUGCGUGUGUGCAGCGGCUUGGUGCAGUCAGGCUGCGGCCGGGGGGCGUUCGGACGGCGGUAAUUUUCUGGAUGAUAAACAAUGGCUCACCACCAUCUCUCGGAAGUCGGACAGUGGAACAAAUUCCGGGACGUGAGUGCUGCGCGCCCCCCUCACCCCACCGCCACGACCCCCGUCCCCGGGCACGGCUGGGGUGGGGGAGUGGGCUCGGGCGGAGCGGGGCCGCUCUCCGCCGCCCCGCCGGGGAGAACUUGGCGGCGCCGGGCCGGGCCGGCUGGGAGGGUGGGUGGGCGCCCAGCGCCCCCGCAGCCCCCCGAGGCUUGCAAAGUGCGGGCUGCACCUUCCCAACUUUUGAGUGCGAUUCCGGGGCCCGGCAAAUGCAGCGGAUGCGCCGAAAGUCACCGGGGUCCAUCCCCGCCGUGCGCAGAGUGGUCCAGUGAGGAAUCCGCUGGGAGAGGGACAGAUGUACGGGUUGACGGACGCCCGGCUCCCCGGGGGUGGGAAGGUGGUCAGUCCGCACCGGUCGGUCGGCAGAAGUUGAACUGCCCCCUCACGCCGUAAAAAUCGCCGAUCCGGUCCGAGUGUCAUCCAGAACCCGUUCGCCAGGCUCUGGAACCCGGGCUCAUUCCGAAGGGGAAGCUGGCAGGUGGGGCGGGGGUCGGCCAGGAAAGGGUUAAACGGUGGGCUCCCCCCCCCCAGCCCCAGCACCGGGGCGCUCCGUCCGUCCCCCGCCGGGAGGCCCGCGGUGCGAACCCGGGACCGCGACGUCGCAGCCCCUCGGUCCCGCCACAGCCUGCCCCUCAGCUUGGAGCCUGGCGGCCAGGGCGGGCGGCGCGGGUCCCCUGGACGCGCCCGGCUCCGAGGUCCCAGCCCCUCCGAGGGACACCCGCAGGCCCGACCCGGAGCCGGCCCGCGCCGCGGCACUGGGCACUGGCGGGGGUCUCCCGCGGGGUCCCGCUGCGGAGCCCCGCGCGCCUUAACUUCUCUCCUCCGCCCCGGCUCCCCCGCGACUUGGGGUCCCCCGGCCCCCCAGCCCUGCACUGGGCCAGGAAGUAGCCGACGAGCCCAGCCUGGGAGAGGGAAUCCGCAGAAAAUGGUCAUUUUGACUUUAAGUGUAGGUGCAGCUGGUUGGUGCGUGGGCACCCAGGAGGAACAAUGAUGAAAUACUGAAUGAGGGCUCUGUCUUAGAAACAAAGCAGAGCGUAGUUUUAUUGCUAACUGGAUGCUCUUAUAAAGAAAAAAAAACUCUUAGGCGUUUGUUUUGAAUGUAUAUUAAUAUAUAUAUUAGAUAUAUGUAUAUAUUUACAAAAAAGCUAGAGAGUGAGAUAUGUAUAAACCUGGAGAGAAUGUGUUCAGCAUGCUCUCAGUGGGGGGAACAUUGAAAAUUUUGUCAGUAUUAGAACAAUAUUUCAAAUUUCAAGUUUUUUUUUUAUUUCUUGG